rnacentral:rRNA from 1 species
AGUGAACGCUGGCGGUAGGCCUAACACAUGCAAGUCGAACGGCAGCACAGUAAGAGCUCGCUCUUACGGGUGGCGAGUGGCGGACGGGUGAGGAAUACAUCGGAAUCUACUUUUUCGUGGGGGAUAACGUAGGGAAACUUACGCUAAUACCGCAUACGACCUACGGGUGAAAGCAGGGGAUCUUCGGACCUUGCGCGAUUGAAUGAGCCGAUGUCGGAUUAGCUAGUUGGCGGGGUAAAGGCCCACCAAGGCGACGAUCCGUAGCUGGUCUGAGAGGAUGAUCAGCCACACUGGAACUGAGACACGGUCCAGACUCCUACGGGAGGCAGCAGUGGGGAAUAUUGGACAAUGGGCGCAAGCCUGAUCCAGCCAUACCGCGUGGGUGAAGAAGGCCUUCGGGUUGUAAAGCCCUUUUGUUGGGAAAGAAAAGCAGCAGGUUAAUACCCCGCUGUUCUGACGGUACCCAAGGAAUAAGCACCGGCUAACUUCGUG